GUCUGAGGAGACAAAACAACACCUGAUGAACUCUGACACACCUGAAAACACACGUAAGUUGUGUUUGUACAGUGUUAAUAAAGUUGUGUGUUUGUACAGUGUUAAUAAAGUUUUGUGUUUGUACAGUGAUAAUAAAGUUGUGUGUUUGUACAGUGUUAAUAAAGUUGUGUGUUUGUACAGUGUUAAUAAAGUUGUGUUUGUACAGUGUUAAUAAAGUUGUGUGUUUGUACAGUGUUAAUAAAGUUGUGUUUGUACAGUGAUAAUAAAGUUGUGUGUUUGUACAGUGUUAAUAAAGUUGUGUUUGUACAGUGUUAAUAAAGUUGCGUGUCUGUACAGUGUUAAUAAAGUUGUGUGUUUGUACAGUGUUAAUAAAGUUGUGUGUUUGUACAGUGUUAAUAAAGUUGUGUGUUUGUACAGUGUUAAUAAAGUUGUGUGUUUGUACAGUGUUAAUAAAGUUGUGUGUUUGUACAGUGAUAAUAAAGUUGUGUGUUUGUACAGUGAUAAUAAAGUUGUGUGUUUGUACAGUGUUAAUAAAGUUGUGUGUUUGUACAGUGUUAAUAAAGUUGUGUGUUUGUACAGUGUUAAUAAAGUUGUGUGUUUGUACAGUGUUAAUAAAGUUGUGUGUUUGUACAGUGUUAAUAAAGUUGUGUGUUUGUACAGUGAUAAUAAAGUUGUGUGUUUGUACAGUGUUAAUAAAGUUGUGUGUUUGUACAGUGAUAAUAAAGUUGUGUGUUUGUACAGUGAUAAUAAAGUUGUGUGUUUGUACAGUGUUAAUAAAGUUAGAAGUCAGUCUGUC